rnacentral:rRNA from 1 species
AGCGAACGCUGGCGGCAGGCCUAACACAUGCAAGUCGAACGAACCUUUCGGGGUUAGUGGCGGACGGGUGAGUAACACGUGGGAACGUGCCUUUAGGUUCGGAAUAACUCAGGGAAACUUGUGCUAAUACCGAAUGUGCCCUUCGGGGGAAAGAUUUAUCGCCUUUAGAGCGGCCCGCGUCUGAUUAGCUAGUUGGUUGAGGUAAUGGCUCACCAAGGCGACGAUCAGUAGCUGGUCUGAGAGGAUGAUCAGCCACAUUGGGACUGAGACACGGCCCAAACGCGGGAGGGGGGCAGCAGGGGGAUAGCUGGGGAAGUGGGCGAAAGGCUGGAGGAGCCAGGCGGAGAGAAGUGAGAAUUUCUUGGAGUUGUAACAUUUUUUCCCCGGGUAAGAUAAUGAUGUUACACGGGGAAGAAGCCCCGUCCCACGGCGAGCCAGCGGCCGCGGUAAGUAUAGGACUAGACUCCGUCUGAAC